UGGGGAAUCUUGCGCAAUGGGCGAAAGCCUGACGCAGCGACGCCGCGUGAGGGAGAAGGCCUUCAGGGUUGUAAACCUCUUUCAGGAGGGACGAAGCCACUCAGGUUAAUAGCCGAGAGGGUGACGGUACCUCCAGAAGAAGCCCCGGCUAACUACGUGCCAGCAGGCCGCGGUAAUACGUAGGGGCAAGCGUUGUCCGGAUUUAUUGGGCGUAAAGAGCGUGUAGGCGGCCAUGCAGGUCAGCUGUGAAAACUCGAGGCUCAACCUCGAGAGGUCGGUUGAAACCGCGUGGCUAGAGUCCGGAAGAGGAGAGUGGAAUUCCCGGUGUAGCGGUGAAAUGCGC
rnacentral:rRNA from 1 species